rnacentral:rRNA from 1 species
UGGGGAAUAUUGGACAAUGGGCGCAAGCCUGAUACAGCCAUGCCGCGUGUGUGAAGAAGGCCUUUUGGUUGUAAAGCACUUUAAGCGAGGAGGAGGCUACUUGGAUUAAUACUCUAGGAUAGUGGACGUUACUCGCAGAAUAAGCACCGGCUAACUCUGUGCCAGCAGCCGCGGUAAUACAGAGGGUGCGAGCGUUAAUCGGAUUUACUGGGCGUAAAGCGUGCGUAGGCGGCUUCUUAAGUCGGAUGUGAAAUCCCUGAGCUUAACUUAGGAAUUGCAUUCGAUACUGGGAAGCUAGAGUAUGGGAGAGGAUGGUAGAAUUCCAGGUGUAGCGGUGAAAUGCGUAGAGAUCUGGAGGAAUACCGAUGGCGAAGGCAGCCAUCUGGCCUAAUACUGACGCUGAGGUACGAAAGCAUGGGGAGCAAACAGG